rnacentral:rRNA from 1 species
AGUGGAAGCGUCUGGAAAGGCGCGCGAUACAGGGUGACAGCCCCGUACACAAAAGCGCAUGUGCUGUGAGCUCGAUGAGUAGGGCGGGACACGUGGUAUCCUGUCUGAAUAUGGGGGGACCAUCCUCCAAGGCUAAAUACUCCUGACUGACCGAUAGUGAACCAGUACCGUGAGGGAAAGGCGAAAAGAACCCCGGCGAGGGGAGUGAAAAAGAACCUGAAACCGUGUACGUACAAGCAGUGGGAGCACAGGUUUACCUGUGUGACUG